rnacentral:rRNA from 1 species
UACGGGGGGGGCAAGCGUUGUUCGGAAUUACUGGGCGUAAAGGGCGCGUAGGCGGAUUGGCAAGUCGGUCGUGAAAUCCUUCGGCUCAACCGAAGAACGUCGAUCGAAACUGCCGUUCUUGAGGAUUGCAGAGGAGACUGGAAUUCCCGGUGUAGCGGUGAAAUGUGUAGAGAUCGGGAGGAACACCGGUGGCGAAGGCGGGUCUCUGGGCAAUUCCUGACGCUGAGGCGCGAAAGCGUGGGGAGCAAACGGG